GCGCGGACUUCGGUCUGGCGGCGAGUGGCGAACGGGUGAGUAAUACAUCGGAACGUACCCUGUUGUGGGGGAUAACUAGUCGAAAGAUUAGCUAAUACCGCAUACGACCUGAGGGUGAAAGUGGGGGACCGCAAGGCCUCACGCAGCAGGAGCGGCCGAUGUCUGAUUAGCUAGUUGGUGGGGUAAAGGCUCACCAAGGCAACGAUCCGUAGCUGGUCUGAGAGGAUGAUCAGCCACAUCGGGACUGAGACACGGCCCGAACUCCUACGGGAGGCAGCAGUGGGGAAUAUUGGACAAUGGGGGCAACCCUGAUCCAGCCAUGCCGCGUGUGUGAAGAAGGCCCUCGGGUUGUAAAGCACUUUCAGCGAGGAAGAACGCCUGGCGGUUAAUACACGCCAGGAAAGACAUCACUCGCAGAAGAAGCACCGGCUAACUCCGUGCCAGCAGCCGCGGUAAUACGGAGGGUGUAAGCGUUAAUCGGAAUUACUGGGCGUAAAGCGCGCGUAGGUGGCUUGAUAAGCCGGUUGUGAAAGCCCCGGGCUCAACCUGGGAACGGCAUCCGGAACUGUCAGGCUAGAGUGCAGGAGAGGAAGGUAGAAUUCCCGGUGUAGCGGUGAAAUGCGUAGAGAUCGGGAGGAAUACCAGUGGCGAAGGCGGCCUUCUGGACUGACACUGACACUGAGGUGCGAAAGCGUGGGUAGCAAACAGGAUUAGAUACCCUGGUAGUCCACGCCGUAAACGAUGUCGACCAGCCGUUGGGUGCCUAGAGCACUUUGUGGCGAAGUUAACGCGAUAAGUCGACCGCCUGGGGAGUACGGCC
rnacentral:rRNA from 1 species